AACCUAUAGGGUACUUUCCGUUGUCCUAGAAUCAUUAAAUUUGGCAGGUCGGUAGGUCUUCUAGCACAGGUAUGGGGAAAAAUCCGAACACCGUGAAUUUGUGGUUACAUCACAA